CUAAUAAAACACAAGACACAGCUUAGUGUACAUCGAUUGACUGUACUCCCGAAUAUACGCCAUGACGUCACGUUGCGGGAACACCCCCGCAGCCAUAUUGAUUUUUAAAAAAUGCACAAAUUAGUCAGUUAGAUAGAUAGAUAGAUAGAUAGAUAGAUAAAUUUUCAUUUGGAUAGGAAUGCUGCAUCCACCAUAAUGGUAGGUUUUCAUGCAGGUCCUAUAUAAAAGAAAAGAAAAAAUAUAAAACGUACAUAUAGAUAAUUAAUUCAUAUAUGACAGGUGUUCUCCUAGAUUGUAAUGUGUAGGGUUUUCAGGGAGGUUUUGAACAACUUUAAUUAGGUGGGACAUGAUUUUGAGGAUAGCGGGAGACGGUUGUAGUGCAGAGCACCUGAGUAUUCAAAGCUCCUUCAGAGUUUGGCUGGCCUAGGUGGAUAUUACCUGAUCCACUGGUCCCAAUGUUCUUAGAAAACUGUUCGUAACUUGAAAGCGCUUCGACUUUUGAUUGUGCAAGUUAGACUAGGAAGAAAGACCAGUCAAAGAUCUACAAGAUGAUGCCCGAAUCGCUUACUAUCUCGAAGGUUUGGCUGUGAUCUGCUUCUGUCAAGCGCUACACAAGGUACUGGGUGUGGCUUAUAACCAGAGGCAGCUAUGUGUAAAGAGAAACAGUGGCAGUGGUAAAAAGGUGUGGUUGGAUCCAAUAAUCCGGAGGUGGGGCCGCGUAUGUACAGUGAACAGUGGCAGUAGCAGCGAGAUAUAAAAAGUGUCUGAUGUUGUGGCUACUGCUGUAUAUGUCCAUGAAUACUUUGCUAUCAAUUGAUCACUGCCACUGGGUCCCUUUUGGAGUACCUUGGAGUCGCCUCUGUCAAGAGUAGAAUACAUGACAAUGCCAUGUACAGGAAGGUUGACGUUGGUGGUAGGACUUUCACAACAGUGCUCCUCUCCAAACUGUUCUCAACCAGAAAACUCAUCAUCACUGCCCUCCAUGACUGGCACAUCUUUGUUACCUUGCUGUACUCUGGCUACUGGGUCUUCUAUGUCAAUCUGUGCAGGUCCCAGAGCUAGUGGGUAGCCUA